rnacentral:tRNA from 1 species
AGGGCUGUAGCUCUAACGGUAGAGCGAAGGACUCCAAAUCCUUAGGUUCAGGGUUCGAAUCCCUGCGGCCCUGCCA